GACGAAUCCUCACACAAGCUGGAACAAGGUGCUGAGCAGUGAUUAUAGCCCUUCCACUCCCAGUAACUAGACGACACAUAGUUCUGGGAGUACAACUGGUUUAAUGCACCCAAACACAGUCUUUUUAUACACAGACCCCAGCAGGGGGACUCCAUUGUCUUCACCGCAAGCCCAUCCCAAGCUAAUUAUCUCCCAAGAACCCAAGGCAAACGUAAAAAUAUAAAAACAUAAAAAUACC